ACCCUCCUCAGAACUUGACUGUGACUGUCUUCCAAGGAGAAGGCACAGCAUCCACAGCUCUGGGGAACAGCUCAUCUCUUUCAGUCCUAGAGGGCCAGUCUCUGCGCUUGGUCUGUGCUGUUGACAGCAAUCCCCCUGCCAGGCUGAGCUGGACCUGGAGGAGUCUGACCCUGUACCCCUCACAGCCCUCAAACCCUCUGGUACUGGAGCUGCAAGUGCACCUGGGGGAUGAAGGGGAAUUCACCUGUCGAGCUCAGAACUCUCUGGGUUCCCAGCACGUUUCCCUGAACCUCUCCCUGCAACAGGAGUACACAGAGUGAGGUCCUGCAGGAAGAAAUCGGCAAGGCCAGCAGCGGACGUGGGAGACAUAGGCAUGAAGGAUGCAAACACCAUCAGGGGCUCAGCCUCUCAGGGUAACCUGACUGAGUCCUGGGCAGAUGAUAACCCCCGACACCAUGGCCUGGCUGCCCACUCCUCAGGGGAGGAAAGAGAGAUCCAGUAUGCACCCCUCAGCUUUCAUAAGGGGGAGCCUCAGGACCUAUCAGGACAAGAAGCCACCAACAAUGAGUACUCAGAGAUCAAGAUCCCCAAGUAAGAAAAUGCAGAGGCUCGGGCUUGUUUGAGGGUUCACGACCCCUCCAGCAAAGGAGUCUGAGGCUGAUUCCAGUAGAAUUAGCAGCCCUCAAUGCUGUGCAACAAGACAUCAGAACUUAUUCCUCUUGUCUAACUGAAAAUGCAUGCCUGAUGACCAAACUCUCCCUUUCCCCAUCCAAUCGGUCCACACUCCCCGCCCUGGCCUCUGGUACCCACCAUUCUCCUCUGUACUUCUCUAAGGAUGACUACUUUAGAUUCCGAAUAUAGUGAGAUUGUAA
rnacentral:lncRNA from 1 species